GUUUUAUUAAUAACCCAGAAGUUAUGACAGGUGCGUGUACUAAGGUUAAAAUUUAGCAUGCUGUUACCAAUGGAUCCAUCUUUGACAGACCAAACCAAACAGGAAUCAAGAACAUUUCUACGAGAACGCUAUCUACGAUUGAUGGCUGCAAUAAAUGAUCAACAAGCAGAUAUCAACAUGUAUGGGAAAACAAAAGUAUCUGGAAGUUUGCGUGCAAUGGAUAUUAAUGUCCAUGCAGUGCAAAUAAGCAAUUUACAAACUCCGAUAGGUGUCAUACCAGAGGCUACACUGAGGUUAGGAGAUAUUCGAACAGUUACAAUACCAGAGUUUAAGCCAUAGAUCAUUAACAAAAUUUCACAUAAGAAAUACUGCCAGAAAGAUCUGCAUCACGGGAAAUAAACAUUUGAAGAUGACACCUGGAGUUUUCAAUGGCAAAAAAAUAUUUGAUUCAAGACAUGGAAUUUGUUUCAGGACUGUCCGGUAGAAAUCAAGCAUUGGUUCCUAGUUGUUUCAAGUUGCAAGGCAGAAGGAACUACUACUAGUGACCAAAGAGACAGAGGUGUGAGAAAGAAUAAAUUUAACUACGUUGAAAUUUGACAAGGUUCUUAUAUAGAUAUUCCAGGUUGCGAAUCAAAUGAAACCAGUGAUCCUAGACACAGAGGUCUGAAAAUAAAUUACCUAAACUAUAAAGAAAUUUGACAAUGGUGUUUGAAAUUUUGAAGUUGUGAG
rnacentral:lncRNA from 1 species